UACGAAGGGGGCUAGCGUUGUUCGGAAUUACUGGGCGUAAAGGGCGCGUAGGCGGUGUGUCAAGUCAGGCGUGAAAGCCCCGGGCUCAACCUGGGAAUUGCGAUGGAGACUGCAAGGCUUGAAUCUGGCAGAGGGGGGGUAGAAUUCCACGUGUAGCAGUGAAAUGCGUAGAGAUGUGGAGGAACACCGAUGGCGAAGGCAGCCUCCUGGGCCAGCACUGACGCUCAUGCACGAAAGCGUGGGGAGCAAACAGG
rnacentral:rRNA from 1 species